UGGUCAGGUGAGAAACUAGAGGGAGGCCUAUCACCCGAACCAGUUCCGGAUAGGUCACGAACUAUACGGAAUAAUUCCGCCUGCUGAUUUGACGCUUCGCUUAUCCGGUUAGCGAAGAAAGAUCGAUAUGCAGCCUUCACCUUAUUCAGGUAUAGGUUAGUUGCGACUCUAACAGCUAUCCAGUUAUAAUCCGUCGGGUUCUUCCUCCAUCUACGCUCUAGCCUUCUCCUCAUACGCUUCAGCGCUCGGAGGUCCCGGUUAAACCAGGGUGCUGGCUGAGCUCUACGACGGAGAGGGCAUUGAGGCGCGAUCGUGUCUAUGGCCCUGGUGGUAGCAAUGGACUAACCCGGAUACCCUCUUGGAAAGAUCUGAGGAAACAUGCUUGUGCUAUCCCAAUUCUUUACAAGAACAGGCCUGCAGAGUUUCAGAAAGAAGAGAACGAGAUGCUGUUCAAGGUAAGCAAUGUAGCAUGAUCAGCGUGAGGUCUGCUGGCAUAGGAAUGCGAAAGCCUGGUGAGAAAGAGAGUUGGCUACAUGUUUGUCUGUGCUAAAGAGUAAGGUUGGUCUCAAAGACCAAUAUUUGGAAAUGCAUGCAAUAGUUUUACACAUCAACCUGGCCGUGCUUUUAUGCAAAACGUCCAGUAGCUGCUUGUUGGUUGCCAAGGUUACGCUCUGUAAAUAACUGAAACAUUCUUUUCCAUCAUUCCUCUGUGAGGUCAAGUGAAAGAUCACAUAUAAUCUGUGAUGCCAUUCAGCCAAGGGAGGGUUGGGGGGGGGGAGGAGACCUAACUAACAUGAUUUACCUCUUUGGAAAAUGUAAAUACAAAAUCUGAUUUAGCAUCGAAGCAUAGAAAUGUCACCCUCAAGAAGAGCUUAAUGAAGCCAAGUAAGCAGAGGAGAUGUCAGCUUUUAUCUCUGAGGAGGGCAUCAUAAGACAGAUUGGGUUCAUCAGUCCUUUCCUUUAUCCUGGAAAAUGCUGGUCAAUGAGAAGGGUUAUAUCCCACUUGUCCUGCAAUGAAAUCAAGGCUGCCACUUUACACUGAGAACUCAGUGGUCAUCAUGACCAGCUGAAAGUCACUCCAGGCACCAUGAAUGCUUGGAAUA
rnacentral:lncRNA from 1 species